GCCACCUGCUGGUGCACUUGACUAACCUCUGCAACCUUUGGAGGAACUCCAUCGCCCAGUACUUCCCUGUAGAAGCAUUGCUGGG